rnacentral:rRNA from 1 species
GACGUAGGGCGCGAGCAUUGUCCGGAUUUAUUGGGCGUAAAGAGCUCGUAGGCGGCUUGUUGCGUCGACCGUGAAAACCCGCGGCUUAACCGUGGGCUUGCGGUCGAUACGGGCGGGCUGGAGUUCGGUAGGGGAGACUGGAAUUCCUGGUGUAGCGGUGAAAUGCGCAGAUAUCAGGAGGAACACCGGUGGCGAAGGCGGGUCUCUGGGCCGAUACUGACGCUGAGGAGCGAAAGCGUGGGGAGCGAACAGG